rnacentral:misc_RNA from 1 species
AACCAUUCUCACCUGCGGCUAGACCUGCGGAAGGAUCAUUAUAGAAUUGUUCGAAUCCAUACGGGCAUUUUCUAAAAAUCCGUAUCCACACCGGUAGGGUUUUUUUUUCUGAAAAAAACCUUUACCGUAGGGUUCUUCAUUCACUUUUCGGAGUGGGUGUGGUUCCUGUCUGACCCAUGCCUAUAAUUUUAUUUUGUCUGAACUUGUUUAUAAAUAAAUAAUAAACAAAAACAACUUUCA